AUGAGAGAGGGCAUCAAGUAUCAGAUAAGACUAUUGAGACCUCGAACUCUCAGUGAUGCCUAUUGCUUGGCAAGGGACAUUGAACCUUGUCACCCACCUGUGUCUGUUAUUCAGAAAAAGGCAUUUGUGCCUUAUAACAACUACUAUCAGAAGAAUACAAGUGCCAGCUUAUCUAAACAGCUACACACUCAUGUGUUACCUCAGGCUCCAACUGGCACUAAAUCUGCAGACAAUGUCAACAAUACUGCUCAGAGGAUAAGAAAAGCUGGUGACUGCUGGAGAUGUGGCGACAAAUGGGUACAUGGGCAUAAAUGCACUCUUAUUCCUAAUGUGCAUCUCAUGCAACAAGAGGUGGAUGAUACUGGCCCACUAGAACAAGAAGAGCCACAUCCAGAACAAUCAGAAAAUAUAGAGGAGCAACAUGAACAAGCAAUUUUUAUCUCUGCUUAUGCCCUGGGUCAUCAGUCAACGGUGCAAACCCCAACAGUAAUUAUAUCUGUUAAUGGUAAGAGAGCUAUAGCUCUACUAGACUCUAGAAGUUCCUCCUCUUUCAUGAAUGAAAAGUUUGCAAUUAAAUCAAACUGUCAUAUGCUGCCCAGAAAACCUAGAGAAAUUUCCAUUGCGGGUGGAGGUACACUAAUAUCUGCAACUGUAGUACCAAAUUGCCCUUUCCAGAUUGCUAAACUAGGAAUGCAACACUCUUUCAAAGUUCUGGAUUUACCUAGCCGUGACAUUAUUCUGGGUUAUGACUGGUUCACCCUUGUCAGCCCAGUCACUUUUGAUGUUCCUAGGCAUCAGUUCAGUUUUACAGUGGAAGGACAGACUAAAGUCACAACAACUAUCUUCAAUACUAAUGAAGAAGUGAAAGAAAUGCAGGCGAAGAAACUCCCAAAAAUGUUGGACAAAGGAAUGCAAGGAUUUCUUAUACAAUUGAACAUCAUCUUAAUGGAAGCUCCUGCCAAUCACUGCAUUCCAGCUGCAGUCCAACAAAUUGUUGGAAGAAUACAAGGAUGUGUUCCAGGAGCCUACAAAGCUACCACCUAG
rnacentral:rRNA from 1 species